rnacentral:lncRNA from 1 species
CAAGCUUAGGUUUUGUCUCAUCCUCUGCAGAUCCGGGUGACAGUGUGCUUAGAGUAAUGUUGGUGUUGUAAUAAAGUAAUGUAACUAGUGCCAGGGAAGGACGUGGAAAAUUGUUAGAAAGAACGCACUCAAAGAAUUUUGAAUGGAUAAGUACUCAUAGUUUUUUAUUGAACCGAAACUUCUAGGGUUACACAAAAGCUAGCUGGGGUACGUACA